rfam:Oryza glumipatula chromosome 8, whole genome shotgun sequence.
UCUAAAAAAAGACACCCUGUUUUCCGUGCCUAAUAUUUAACCGUCCGUCUUAUUUAAAAAAAUUAAAAAGACAAUUCACGCAUAAAAUAUUAAUCAGUUUUAUCAUUUAACAACAAUGAAAAUACGAAUUAUAAAAAAAUUUCAUAUAAGACGGACCGUUAAAGUUGGACACGGAAACCAAGGGUUUGCCUUUUU